rnacentral:tRNA from 2 species
GCGGGUGUGGUGGAACUGGCAGACACGCUAGACUUAGGAUCUAGUGCCUUACGGCGUGGGGGUUCGACUCCCUCCACCCGCACCA